rnacentral:rRNA from 1 species
UUCCAUGAAGCCGGAAUUGCUAGUAAUGGCAGGUCAGCAUACUGCCGUGAAUACGUUCCCGGGCCUUGUACACACCGCCCGUCACACCAUGAGAGUUGGGAAUACCCGAAGCCUGUGAGCUAACGUUAAGAGGCAGCAGUCGAAGGUAGAAUCAAUGAUUGGGGUGAAGUCGUAACAAGGUAGC